AUAACUAUAUCAGAAGUGCCAUUUAAAAUUUGUCUUUAAAUUUUUCAAUUUCUCCCCCAUGUAGAGAAUCUUAUACUAAAUAGUAAGCAUGGGAAUCAUUUGGUUGAAAUGAGACCUAAGGUGGCUGAUAAUGCACUACUUGUUAGGCUCUGUGCCAGAAACGUCCUUUUUAUCCAUCACUUAUUUUUAUAGUUGAGUCAUGGAUUAGAAUGCUGAUGGACGUAAGAUGUUUUGAGUUUAAUUAUUAACUGUCUAGUUGUUUUUUUUUUUUUGGCAGGGUGAAUGACUGGAAGAGUUAGGACAAAGUAACUAACAAGUGAGUCAACUUAGAAAUUGGCACUUUAGGUAUAGAGUGUGUGGUAUUUCCCUUGGUUAUGCAAAUGUCCUAUUCAUUUAUACAGAAACCAAAUCAGUAUGUUUGUGAUAUAUCAUUGUCUUUAUGUGGUGGGAAAAUAAUUUUCAGGUAAUUUAAUAGAGUACAUGGCACUUUGGCCUUUUAUUCUCUAUGGAUUAGCUUUGAAACCUGAUGUUUUAGUGUCUAGAGAGAUAGCAAAGUGGUCGUAGUUCAAUAUUCU
rnacentral:lncRNA from 1 species